GACUUAAAUAAUUUGAGCAAAAUCCGUUGGCUUUAUUGACCGUGAGGGUUCAAGUCCCUCUACCCCCAA
rnacentral:tRNA from 1 species